CUUCAAUCAGACGAUGGAGUCAAAAGCAGAUCUGUUAAUCUUUCAUCAUCCUCAUCUGCGACUCACGGUACAUCUGUGACUCCGGCGAUCAUCCUCGUCAUCCAUCAUCUGAAAUCCUCUCACCAAUCUGAUUUUGAGGAGUUCUGCCGCUCGAAGAAAUCCUUUCACCGAUUUGAUUCUGGUGACACCGACCUUCAUUUCCUUUAAGUUCUAGUUUCAUUGUUAACGGUUCAGAUUCAUGAUACUGUGUCGAAUUGCUAGGGUUACGAAAGCUAGAGGAGAAUAUCUUUGAAUGGCAAUUUGCAAUUAGGGGGCCAAAUGAUACUAAAUUUGAAGGUGGAAUUUAUCACGGCCGAAUUUGCUUAAGUAGGGGUGCAAACGAGCCGAGCUACUCGCGAGCUACUCGAGCUCGGUUCGAAAAAAAGCUCGAACGAGCCGAGCUUA